rnacentral:rRNA from 1 species
UACGUAGGCAGCGAGCGUUUGUUCGGAGUUACUGGGCGUAAAGGGUGUGUAGGCGGUUGUUUUAAGUUUGGUGUGAAAUCUCCCGGCUCAACUGGGAGGGUGCGCCGAAUACUGAAUGACUUGGAGUGCGGGAGAGGAGAGUGGAAUUCCUGGUGUAGCGGUGAAAUGCGUAGAUAUCAGGAGGAACACCGGUGGUGUAGACGGCUCUCUGGACCGUAACUGACGCUGAGACACGAAAGCGUGGGUAGCAAACAGG